UCAAAACUCAAUCUGUGAAAUUUCUGGGGAAAACCCUUUUGUGUCCUGAAGGGUUCAAACUCUGUUGAGGAUCCAGUUAUCAGUUGCUCACCUGGAUGGUUCCAGAUCCCAAAGGGAAAGACUCUCGUAUCCUUGUCUUCAGGCUCGGUGCUGUCCAAGAAGAUACAGAGACUAGAAAAAUCAUAAGAAGCAAAAUAUGACUGCAGGGAAAACAAGCUGGAGAGAACAAAAGACUCAUCACGGCGGGACAGCGUGAAGACUGAAAGUGUGAGAAGAUGUGGAGGGGAAGAGAGAAUCUGACGGGAGCAGCGAACGCACGAGUGCACGAAUUUUGCUUUUUGCUUGGAUGUAAACUCAGGAGUUGAAAGGAAUUUGGGAGUGAGAAGGGACAUUUCAGAAGGAGAAGAAGAAAAAGAGGUUGUUGUUGUUGUUACAGUCCUGGCAAAAUCUUUUGUUCUAGCUAAUAAAAGA